rnacentral:rRNA from 1 species
ACAUGCAAGUCGAACGCAGUAGCAAUACUGAGUGGCAAACGGGUGAGUAUAAUGUGGGAAUCUGCCUUUUGGUUUGGAAUAACACGGGGAAACUUGUGCUAAUACCGAAUAAGCCCUUACGGGGAAAGUUUUAAUGCCGAAAGAUGAGCCCGCACUUGAUUAGCUAGUUGGUAAGGUAAAAGCUUACCAAGGCAAUGAUCAAUAGCUGUUCUUAGAGGAAGACCAGCCACAUUGGGACUGAGACACGGCCCAGACUCCUACGGGAGGCAGCAGUGGGGAAUCUUGCACAAUGGGGGAAACCCUGAUGCAGCGAUGCCGCGUGAGUGAAGAAGGCCUUUGGGUUGUAAAACUCUUUCGUCGGGGAAGAAAAUGACUGUACCCGAAUAAGAAGG